rnacentral:lncRNA from 1 species
AUAAAUCUGGUGCUUGCACAUCACAUGGCCUAACACCACAUGGAAGCUACCAAGGCUAUGGCUUGCACCCCCUGAAGCAGUGACUGGAGUUGUAACUGAGUCAAUUUGACCUACACCUGGAGCUGAAGCAGUGGCCAGGAUGCAGGGAGCCAUGUUCCAAAUCUACCCAAGGCAGCAUGUCCUGGGCCUGAUCCCAGAAACUAUUCUCUUCUUUUAGGCCUCAGGGCCUAUGAUGGGGGACUGCCUUUUAGAUUUCUAAAGUGCCUUCAAUUCCUCUUUCCCAUUGUCUUGGCUAUCAACACUUGCUUUUUUUUUUAGGUUAUACAAAUAUCUCUAACAAGUAGUUGCUCCAUAGCCUGCUUGAGUUCCUCUCUUAUAAAAGCUUUUUAUUUUUCAGCCACAUGACUAGGCUGCAAAGUUUUCAAGCUUUUACACUAUGCUUCCCUUGUAAGCUUAAGUUACAACCUUUUUUUUUUUUUUUUGCUAGAACAUGUGAGCAUAGGUUGUUAGAAGCAGCCAGGCCACAUCUCAAAUGCUUUGCUGUUUAGACAUUUUUCCAACAGAAACCCUAAAUCAUCAAUUUCAAAUUCAAACUCUUAUAUAUCCCUAGGGCAUGACAGAAAUUCAGCCAACCACUUUGCUAAGACAACAUGCGUGACCUUUGUUUUGGUCCUAAUUAGUUUCUAAUUUUCAUCUGAGACCUCCUCAGCCCAGCCUUCACUGUCCAGAUCACUAUCAGCAUUUUGGUCACAGCCAUUCAACCAGUCUCUAAGAAAAUCUCAACUUUCUCUCAUUUUUCUGUCUUCUUCUGAAUCCUACAAACUCUUCCAACCUCUGCCUAUUUACCCAAUUACAAAGCUGAUUCCACAUUUUCAGGUAUUCUUAUAACAAUUUUCCACUCCUUGGUGCCAAUUUUAUGUAUUAAGCUAUUUUUGCAUCACUAUAAGAGUGGGACUGGAUAAUUUAUUUUUAAAAAAGGAGGUUUAAGUGGCUCCUGGUUCUACAGGCUGUAGAGAAGACAUAGCACUGGCAUAUGCUUCUGGGGUGGCCUGUGGAAGUUUACAGUCAUGGCAGAAGUUGAAGCAGAAUCUUGCACAUCACACAGCAAAAAGCAGGAGUGAAAAACAGAGGUGCAAGUUGUUACACACUUUUAAAUAACCAGAUCUUAUAGGAACUCACUUACUAUUAUGAGGAUAGUACCAAAUGGGAUGGUGCUAAGCCAUUUAUGAGUAAUCCACCCCGAUGAUUAAAUCACCUUUCACCAGGCCCACCUCCAACAUUGAGAAUUACAUUUAAAUAUGAGAUUUGGGAGGGGACACAUAUUCAAACCUUAUCAGAGGAGUCUUUAUGUUUUUGCCAAUAUAAGAUUAUAUCAUUGGUAAAAAAAAAAAGAUAAUUUGACUUCUUUUCCAAUUGGGAUGCCUUUUAUUGCUUUCUCUUGUCUGAUUGCUCCAGAUAGGACUUUCAGAAUUAUGUUGAAUAACAGUGGUAAAAGUGGACAUUCUUGUCAUCUUCCAGAUUUUAGAGGAAAGGAUUUUAGUUUUUCCCCACUUAGUAUGAUACUAGCUGUUGGUCUGUCAUAUAUGACUUUUAUUAUGUUGAGGUAUGUUCAUUCCAUACCCAGUUUUCAAAGGGUUUUUUAUUAUUAAA